rnacentral:sRNA from 1 species
UUGACAAGUCUAGAGACUGAAGUCUUCUGUUUAUCCUCAGAACAGGUACAAUUCAAACAUUCCCACCCCUCCACAUAUCUCCGUACUGACAGAGCAAACAUCUCUGGGGCAGUAGUAUAGUUCAGUCUCCAUAGCCCAUUCAGUCUUUGGCCUCC